rnacentral:rRNA from 1 species
UCCGUAGGUGAACCUGCGGAGGGAUCAUUACAAGUGACCCCGGUCUAACCACCGGGAUGUUCAUAACCCUUUGUUGUCCGACUCUGUUGCCUCCGGGGCGACCCUGCCUUCGGGCGGGGGCUCCGGGUGGACACUUCAAACUCUUGCGUAACUUUGCAGUCUGAGUAAACUUAAUUAAUAAAUUAAAACUUUUAACAACGGAUCUCUUGGUUCUGGCAUCGAUGAAGAACGCAGCGAAAUGCGAUAAGUAAUGUGAAUUGCAGAAUUCAGUGAAUCAUCGAAUCUUUGAACGCACAUUGCGCCCCCUGGUAUUCCGGGGGGCAUGCCUGUUCGAGCGUCAUUUCACCACACAAGCCUCGCUUGGUAUUGGGCAUCGCGGUCCGCCGCGUGCCUCAAAUCGACCGGCUGGGUCUUCUGUCCCCUAAGCGUUGUGGAAACUAUUCGCUAAAGGGUGUUCGGGAGGCUACGCCGUAAAACAACCCCAUUUCUAAGGUUGACCUCGGAUCAGGUAGGGAUACCCGCUGAACUUAAGCAUAUCAAUAAGCGGAGGA